ACCACAUCAUUUUGAAACACUGGUUUCUGUACAAUCACCAAAGUUAAGCAACAUUGUGCCGGUCACUACCUAGAUGGGUGACUACCUGGGAAUACUAUGUGGUGUAAG